GAUGAACGCUAGCGGCAGGCUUAAUACAUGCAAGUCGAGGGGCAGCACGGAUAGCAAUAUUUGGUGGCGACCGGCGCACGGGUGCGUAACACGUAUACAACCUACCUAUAACAGGGGGAUAGCCUUUCGAAAGAGAGAUUAAUACCCCGUAAUAAAUUGAGUGGCAUCACUUGAUUUUGAAAGCUACGGCGGUUAUAGAUGGGUAUGCGUCCUAUUAGCUAGUUGGUGAGGUAACGGCUCACCAAGGCGACGAUAGGUAGGGGAUCUGAGAGGACUAACCCCCACACUGGUACUGAGACACGGACCAGACUCCUACGGGAGGCAGCAGUAAGGAAUAUUGGUCAAUGGAGGCAACUCUGAACCAGCCAUGCCGCGUGCAGGAUGACGGCCCUAUGGGUUGUAAACUGCUUUUGUACCAGAGAAAACCUACUCACGUGUGAGUAGCUGAUAGUAUGGUAAGAAUAAGCAUCGGCUAACUUCGUGCCAGCAGCCGCGGUAACAC
rnacentral:rRNA from 1 species